AGCGAACGCUGGCGGCAGGCCUAACACGUGCAAGUCGAACGAACUCUUCGGAGUUAGUGGCGGACGGGUGAGUAACACGUGGGAACGUGCCUUUUGGUUCGGAAUAACUCAGGGAAACUUGUGCUAAUACCGAAUGUGCCCUUCGGGGGAAAGAUUUAUCGCCAUUAGAGCGGCCCGCGUCUGAUUAGCUAGUUGGUGAGGUAACGGCCCACCAAGGAGACGAUCAGUAGCUGGUCUGAGAGGAUGGCCAGCCACACUGGGACUGGGACACGGCCCAGACUCCUACGGGAGGGAGCAAUGGCGAAUCCAGCGAAAUGGGGGAAAGCAUGAAGCAGCCAGGCCGGGUGAAUGAUGAAGGUCUGAGGAUUGUAAAAUUCUUUCACCGGCGACGAUAAUGACGGUACCCGGAGAAGAAGCCCCGGCUAACUUCGUG
rnacentral:rRNA from 1 species